rnacentral:rRNA from 1 species
UACGGAGGAUCCGAGCGUUAUCCGGAUUUAUUGGGUUUAAAGGGUGCGUAGGCGGAUUGUUAAGUCAGCGGUGAAAUUUUGCAGCUUAACUGUAAAAUUGCCGUUGAAACUGAUGAUCUUGAGGAUAGUUGAGGUAAGUGGAAUGUGUUGUGUAGCGGUGAAAUGCAUAGAUAUAACACAGAACACCGAUUGCGAAGGCAGCUUACUAGACUAUAACUGACGCUGAGGUACGAAAGCGUGGGGAUCAAACAGGAUUAGAUACCCUGGUAGUCCACGCUGUAAACGAUGAAUACUAGCUGUAUGCGAUAUACAGUAUGCGGCGGAGCGAAAGCAUUAAGUAUUCCACCUGGGGAGUACGUUCGCAAGAAUGAA